UUAGGAAUUUUGGGCAAUGGGCGCAAGCCUGACCCAGCAACGCCGCGUGGGGGACGACGGCCUUCGGGUUGUAAACCCCUUUUCCGGGGGACGAUGGUGACGGUACCCCGGGAAGAAGCCCCGGCUAACUACGUGCCAGCAGCCGCGGUAAUACGUAGGGGGCGAGCGUUGUCCGGAUUCAUUGGGCGUAAAGCGCGCGCAGGCGGCCCGCGGCGUCGCCCGUGAAAGCCCCCGGCUCAACCGGGGGGGGACGGGCGAGACGGGCGGGCUGGAGGCCGGUAGGGGGGGACGGAAUUCCCGGUGUAGUGGUGGAAUGCGUAGAGAUCGGGAGGAACACCAGUGGCGAAGGCGGUCCCCUGGGCCGGGCCUGACGCUGAGGCGCGAACGCGUGGGGAGCGAUCCG
rnacentral:rRNA from 1 species